AGAUAGAAAUGGGUUAACCUUUUGAAGCUUCUCUUUGAUGUGGUCUCAAACCGUGCCCUCUGGAAUUCUCCAAAUUCAAGAGGCCUCCAAUACUACAUUUUUAAUGUUCUGCUGUCUCAUUGUGGCAAUAUACACACUUUUAAGCUUUGCAACACCUUCCCAGAAAAGUUCUCCGAUCUUCACGCCUGGAUACAUUAUCUUGCAAGAAACAGUAUCAGGGAAUUCACUCUUGAGUAUGUUAGCACAGCAAUUGAUUUUGCAAACGUGUAUAAGUUACCAGCUUGCAUAUGGUCUUUUGAACAUCUGACCCAUUUGCAGCUCUGUUGAUAUAAAUUACCACAACCUCCUUGUGCUUCUAAAGGUUUCAGAAAUCUUGUCGGUCUCCAACUUUCUGGGAAGCUUAGUGAUAUUCAGUUGCUUGAAAACUUGAUCUGCAACUGCCCUGUUCUACAGAUUGAUGCUCAAUAGUCUUCAAAAUUUAGCUUGUUUUGGUAUUCAGGCCGCAAAGCUAAAACAGGUAGGUCUCCAAGGAAAAUUGAGAGCUAUCAUUCUUAAAAAUUGUACGGUCCUAGCAGAGAUAACCUUAAUCAUCACUUCAGAUGGGUCUACCAGCGUUGAAUAUCAAGAUCAAGGAAGGAUUUACCAUUUGCUACAUUAUCUCAGUCAGCUAUCCAGUCUGAAAAGAGUUAAAGUUUCUGGUUUUUUCCUUAAGAUUCUUUAUGCAUUUGAUCUUAGAAUUGGCUGAUGCGGAAUGUUUCAGACAUUGCCUAUAUUGCAUCCAACCAUUUGAAGAUUCUUUAUCUUGUUGAAAUGAGUUUCAACGAUCAUGAUCAGACAAAGGCCACUGUCAAACUUCUUAAACUCUUCUCAAACUUACGAUUCGAAGCGGAGAAUAUUCAAGACAAUCAUUCGAAUUUCUGCAAGCACAAAAUCAAUCAAGCUACUGUUUUGGCCAACUUCAAAAUGUGAAGAUUCAUCUAAGAGAUUGUGUUACAAUUUUCAGCAACCAGCAUCCUGAAUUGGAAUUUAUCAAGUUCCUACUUAAUCAUUCUCCAGUACUCGACAAAAUGGUGAUUUUAAAUGAUGAGCAUAGAGAUAAAUUUAACUGACAGUUUAUGGAAGAAAUGCUGUUUUUUAAAAGGAUUUCACCAGAAGCAAAAAUUACAUAUUGUCCAGUGUCCUCACUGCCAUGCUACAAUACAAUCAAUCGAUGAUGAGUCUAUGCUCUUCAUUUUGUAAGUUGGGGUUGCAAGAUCUUGAGGCUUUUGGUUUUGUGUGUCAGGUUCUGAAGACCAGUGAGUAUUGCUCAGGAAGAAGUCCUUUUAAUGUUUUAAUGGCCGCUUGAUGACCAUAGAUGGUUUAAUUUGCAUUGGCUUGUGCAUUUGUUCGGACUAAUUUAUGUAUCUCCUGCAGGAAAAAAGAACUUGGGGGAGAAGGACACUUGGCAGCAGCAAGCUUGGACAGAUGGCAAUUCAGCAGAGGCCAGGACCACCAGAAAUGAUAAAUAAUUGUGGCACAACAGACAGCAGCUGCACUGCAAGGUGGUUAAGGAGGAUAAAAAGGAGAGGACAACAGCAGAAAAGGAUAUUCAGAAUUCAGCGAAAGGUGAGGGAAUUUGAGGGAGAGAGCAGGCCUCUCGAAUGCCUUGCAUAGUGGCUAUUUUCAUAGUCUAUGUAAUAAGAAUUUGUGGUUAUCUUCUUUGUUUAUGUAAUAGGAGUUGUGAGACAUUUUCCAAUUUCCAGAGACAGAAUCCACUUUGUAUUGAAAUCAAUAUUGUUUGCUUUCAUGUAGAUUCAAUCCAAAGUUACAAUUCCAGAA